rnacentral:lncRNA from 1 species
GUGGAUAGUUUCGUAUUAUUCAGAGUUUUUCAUCAUUAUGUUAUAUUUUUAAAUAAUUUUCUUAAAACUGCUAUUUUUGGAAAGUUUUCAUCUAUUAGAGAAAUACUAUAGAUUUGAGCUUGUGAUUUAGAUAUUAGGAUAACAAGAAUAUUUGUGGAUAGUUUAGUAUUAUUUUUGAGUUUUUCAUCAGUGUGUUGUAUUUUUAAAUAAUUUUCUUAAAAACUGCUAUUUUUGGAAAGUUUUCAUCUAUUAGAGAAAUAUUGUAGAUUUGAGCUUGUGAUUUAGAUAUUAGGAUAACAAGAAUAUUUGU